GAGACGAGACGAGACGAGACUUUAGUUGGGUGCAGAAAGCAUAAUGUUCCUACCAGCCAACUUUCUGUUUUUAACCAUCAUCCACAGCUGACUGACAGCGUUCAGCAACAAGUGGAGGAGGGGUGUUGUUCUGCUAGAAGCUUCUCUCUACCAGCAGGCCCUGGAAGUCUCCUUCUCCCAACCUUCCCACCAGUCUGUCCGUGUUGCAUAUAAUUGGCCGCAGUUGGCUUCAACUGAAUGCCUGCCGCCUUAGGGGCUAAAUGAUGCUUCAAGGCCUUCUGGAGCAGCCAAAGAAAAUCCACAGCCCUCCCUUCCACAUGUCAAAAACCAAAGGCGCCGUCUUGGAGGCUUUCUAAGCAGGAGCUAUGCUGAUUUACUGCUUUGUUUGGGAUCAGUGAUACUUGACCACCGCAGAGUCUGGGCCAAGCUUGACAGAUGGAAGGAGAUUCAUCUCUAGAACACAUCAGCCUACAGGGGAGAUCUGCUCCGGCGCCCGGAUCCAAAAACAGCCUUCCUCCAACCACCAGUUUGACGAUACAUACAAGGGCUUAUACAUCAACAAACGGGCCCCAAAUGCUCCAAAGCACGUUUCUAGGGACGUCCUGUCGUCCAACUUGCUAAUUAUCAGCUUUUUUUUUAACCAACUGGUUCUUAUAGAGAGCCGUUUACACAUGAACACAAAGAAAAAAAUCUAAUUUAUUCCAAACACACACAGCUUUGUAUUCAACUAAUCAAUGCGAGCAUUGCAGUGUCCUUGUUUAUCUGCAAAUCACAUUACUCCACCUAAAAACUGGCCCCAAAUUUAGGAUCGGCUCUCACUCAGGCUUUUGAGCCACUAUGAGGUAUCAUGACCAAAGCGAAUAAAAGGCA